rnacentral:misc_RNA from 1 species
GACGCAAGUUGCGGUUUUCUUUCGAAAACCAUGUUUGCCUGAGGGUUGUUUCACACAAAUUGAGGCGUGUCAUUUCCCAUAAAAAAGAGAUGACUCCCUUUAAAUGAUUUUGAAUUUCCCCUCCCGAUCUUUUGUGACUUGAAGAAAAGUUAAUUUUUUUUCAAGAAACGAAAUCUCUCCAUUUUUAUUUUUUCCUUGAAAACAAAGAGAAGGAGCUCAUUGAGUACCCGAAAAAAAAAAAAAAUUAAUUAAUAACGCAACCUCAGAUCAAGCAAGACUACCCGCUGAACUUAA